UUAGAGCGAUGGAAAAAGAUAAUGAAAAGCUUUUCACCAUUCUAAAAUUAUGUUACAGUUAUGGUCGGAUAAAAAGUGGAGACAAAUAGAAUAAUAUGGAUGGAAUUUUUCCAUUGGCACCUUCAAAAUUACUAAAUACCUGACCGUCAUUAUUCAUUGUAUUUUUUGAAAUGUUUUAGUAAUACAAGCUAACACUUCUUUA